rfam:Laetiporus sulphureus 93-53 unplaced genomic scaffold LAESTscaffold_64, whole genome shotgun sequence.
GCAAUCAUGGGGUAGUGGUAACCUUGGUCGUUGCCACUUAAUUUCGACCAGCCGCGGGUUCGAUUCCCGCUGAUUGCA